UGCGUCAUUAGUUUUGACCCCAAGUGCAGUUAAUACGGUAAAUGGGCGACGUUUGGUCAUUCGAGAGGAAGAAGCGUAGCGAAAGGGUUUACGCCGCCCAAAAUUUGUCCACGAAAAUAGACCAAGUGAGGGAGUUUUGUAUGGAGUCGUUGAAGUACAGCAAAAGAGAAGCUGCAAUAAAGGAAGAGAAGACACUGUCGAAGAGCACACAUGAGGAAGAUGAGCCGUGCCCUAAAAGAGGGAUGUCAAAGCAAGAACCCAAUACUUCAGAGGUAGCCUUGACAGAAGGUGGGGCUCCAGAGCAGUUUGAGUUUCAGUAUGGACUUGAGGGACCAACAUUUAAGAAUGAGAAUGGGGAGUCCUCCAAGAGCCAUCUGUCCAUCAUCAAAGUAGAACAGCUGGACUCCCUCCUCCCAGACCAAACAGACUCCAGCUGUGGUUCAGGGUCACCUGGGGAUUCGGGGCCUCCUGACUCGUCUGGUUCUGGGUCCAAUACUAGUCCGGCUUCACAGUUUUUCAGGAAGUGCCACCAGGCAGGCUGCACACAAUUCAUCUUCUCGGAGUUCACCUCCCGCCUCAGCACCAUCACUGAGAGGAUCGCAUCCCAGCAGGCCAGCGAGGAAGUGUCAUUAUAGGGGUAUGAUUCUCGCUUGGGGGUGCGAGAAGUUCCGGGUUCAAAUCUCGGAUGAUCCCACAUUAUGUUACGUACGCCUCUUGGAGGAGGGAACGCAACACCCUGCUACACUCAACUCCCCGUGGAGUGAAAGAGAUUUCAACCUCACCCUGAAAGUGCUGGAGGCCUCUGGGAUGCUGCCAGAGAUCUUUACCAAAAGAGACCAAGAAAUGGAGAAGAGACUGAGGGAGCUACAGAGAGAGACUGUUGCGGUGAGGACAGCCAGGUCUGCCAUGAGAGAUGCUUGCGUCAUGAGCUUCACCUCAUGACGGAGCACCGCUGAAGAUCAAAUCGGUUUUAUAAGGCGUUAUAACCAGCAGAGCCUGGUUAUAUUCUGACCACUUGACAGAACUAGGAAGGUAUAGGAGUUUUCCCUGGACCAAUCCCCUCGUCAGGAAAAACUUAGAUCCUCCUUUUAACCGAAAUGUAAAUAUUUCAAACCUUUUGUAUUUUACAUAUUUUUCUACCCGUGUUCAAACUUUGACUCUGUGAAAUCUGAACUCUGACAUUUGAAUGCAGUUUUUCACCCUGGCCACUAACUUGAGUGGCAUGUUAUACAUUAAAUGAGUAAUUGGUAAUAUAAUCUUUUGACAGACAUUGGUUCUGAGGUUAUUGGUGGUGAUUUGAUGUUAGUAGGUGAUCCUUAGUCUCCCGCUCUGUACUGUAUAUUAUAUGCUCACUAACCCUUAACAGACUUAAUAUAUCCUAAUAUACUGAAUGUGCAAAUUAGUAGAUCCAUUUUUUUUAUUGACGGUUACUAUCUCCACUAGUACUAUAAGAUUAAUUAUUUAGAAUACACUGUAAUAUAGUACACUUGAGAGGAAAGUUGAGACCUGUGACGUUCUGAGAAUGAAUUAAACUUGUUAUGUAAA
rnacentral:lncRNA from 1 species